GGGGAAUCUUGCGCAAUGGGGGGAACCCUGACGCAGCGACGCCGCGUGCGGGACGGAGGCCUUCGGGUCGUAAACCGCUUUCAGCAGGGAAGAGUCAAGACUGUACCUGCAGAAGAAGCCCCGGCUAACUACGUGCCAGCAGCCGCGGUAAUACGUAGGGGGCGAGCGUUAUCCGGAUUCAUUGGGCGUAAAGCGAGCGCAGGCGGUUUGAUAAGUCUGAAGUUAAAGGCUGUGGCUCAACCAUAGUUCGCUUUGGAAACUGUCAAACUUGAGUGCAGAAGGGGAGAGUGGAAUUCCAUGUGUAGCGGUGAAAUGCGUAGAUAUAUGGAGGAACACCGGUGGCGAAAGCGGCUCUCUGGUCUGUAACUGACGCUGAGGCUCGAAAGCGUGGGGAGCGAACAGGAUUAGAUACCCUGGUAGUCCACGCCGUAAACGAUGAGUGCUAGGUGUUGGAUCCUUUCCGGGAUUCAGUGCCGCAGCUAACGCAUUAAGCACUCCGCCUGGGGAGUACGACCGCAAGGUUGAAACUCAAAGGAAUUGACGGGGGCCCGCACAAGCGGUGGAGCAUGUGGUUUAAUUCGAAGCAACGCGAAGAACCUUACCAGGUCUUGACAUCCCGAUGCUAUUUCUAGAGAUAGAAAGUUACUUCGGUACAUCGGUGACAGGUGGUGCAUGGUUGUCGUCAGCUCGUGUCGUGAGAUGUUGGGUUAAGUCCCGCAACGAGCGCAACCCCUAUUGUUAGUUGCCAUCAUUCAGUUGGGCACUCUAGCGAGACUGCCGGUAAUAAACCGGAGGAAGGUGGGGAUGACGUCAAAUCAUCAUGCCCCUUAUGACCUGGGCUACACACGUGCUACAAUGGUUGGUACAACGAGUUGCGAGUCGGUGACGGCAAGCUAAUCUCUUAAAGCCAAUCUCAGUUCGGAUUGUAGGCUGCAACUCGCCUACAUGAAGUCGGAAUCGCUAGUAAUCGCGGAUCAGCACGCCGCGGUGAAUACGUUCCCG
rnacentral:rRNA from 1 species